rnacentral:lncRNA from 1 species
GGAUAAUAUCAUAAAUGCUACAAUAGAACUUUAACAAAAUAGUAGCAAGCCAUUACAUAUUAGAAAACCUUUCUCUCCUACAGAAUAUUAACAAAGGUCAACAUAAUCUCCCCUGAAUUACCGGGCAUUAUUCUCUUGUUUGUCUAUAGAGUUUCAAAAUCUUUAGUUUUAUCCUAACAAUAGAUUUUCUUAGCUUUCAUAUAUGGUUGAAAUGUAAAUAAAUAGGCUCAUAUAAUAUAUUCUUACAUGACUUGCUUUUGUUCAUUGUUAUCUACUGAACAAUUUACCCAUUCAUUCUCUUGCUGAUAGAUACUCGAAUUGGAUCCAGCUAUUUUUAUAACAAGUCUUCCACACCGGUCUUGGUGUCUGUGUUUGAGUUUUUCACCAGUAUAUACUAAUAACGAAACAUGGGAGAAUCUUAGGGUGUACUCAUCCUUAGCCUUACCAGCAGCACACUGCCCAAAUGGCUGAAAUGAAAUGGUGUUAUUCCACUGGAAAAAUAUUGACUAUAAAAUCCUGACCUUGGAAAGUGGACCUGAAGAGAGACUCACAUUUAUUUCCAGUGUGUUGGAUGACUGUGACUCUAACUAAAUGGAACAAUGUCUUCAUCCAUUUUUGGUACUCAG